rnacentral:sRNA from 1 species
AGGUUUCUUCAGUGAAAAUGAUGAAAUACUUACCAUCUGUCCAAAACACAGAUAUGUUCUUGGUGUUGGAUGGAGGUCAAGUAGGAUGUGUUCCCUUGGAUGGAAAUGUAAUCAUCAAAGCAAGAGCAAUUCAAAAGGAACCAUCACAAAAGAGCAGUCAUUCUUCCUGAAGAAGUAUAAUGAUUGUCUUAUUAGAAUUGGUUCAGGAGUGUGUUCCAAUUGUAGAAAACAUCUUGUAAAAAGGAUGGAAUCAGAUAAGGAGAAUACACAAGGGGAAAAUGAAGUAGACACAUAUCCAGUUGGUUCUGCUGAAGUUCUUCACAAAGGAUGGGCUUUGAAGUCAAAAUGCGAGUUUAAGUGAUUCACUGAAUCUCAAAAAUCUUUCUUGAAAGUUUGAGGUUGUAGAAAGCAGUGGUCAUAAACUUGACCCAGAAGAUGUAGCCUCCGAGAUGAGAAGAGUGAGAAAUGCAGAAGGAAAGCGCAUUUUCAGAAUUGAUGAGUUCCUUUCAGGAAAUCAAGUUUCCAGCUAUUUCUGCAGAUUGGACUUAAAAAGGAGGAGGAUUCCUGUUGUGAUCAGAUGGUUGGAGAAAAGGACCUAGAAGUUGAAAAUGAUUUGGACAAUUUUAGAAGCUUGGCCACUUUAUUAUUUUAUUAGAACUUCUGAUUCACUAUUUUUAGGCCACCCGAGUCACUCAGGUGACCUAUUGCUAUCUAUAUUUGUCCGUCAUCAUUUGUUGUACAUUGGUUGUAAACUUUUGAACAUUUUUAGCUUCUUUUUUGAAACCACUGAACCAAUUUAAACCAAAGUUAAUAUAUGUACUAAAGUACAUACCAGGUAUAUAUUUAUGAUGAGGAAGAGUGCCUCUUCCAAAAUUGGGAAGUUCAUGGCCCUGGGUGAGGUGUUCUGGUGUUAGGGUGGGUGGGGCUCUAAAUGCAGUAGUUCUUUGAAAAUCUUCAUCUUUGCUCCUGGAUAUUAAUCCAAUGAAAUAAGUAUAUAGUUAUGAUAAGGAAGAAUGCCUCUUUCAAAGUUAUGAAUUUCAUGGCCCCUGGAUCAGGAGUUUUCUUGUAAGGACAGGGCUCUAAUGAUUAUGUAUAGGGUAGGGUGGGGUAAUUUUUGCCCAAUUAUUUUUUUGUUCUUAAGAUUUGUUCAAUUAUGUCACUGUAUGUUAUGCUAUGACGUUUUAAUAAUUUUUUUUAGAAUUU